UUUCAACAACGGAUCUCUUGGUUCUGGCAUCGAUGAAGAACGCAGCGAAAUGCGAUAAGUAAUGUGAAUUGCAGAAUUCAGUGAAUCAUCGAAUCUUUGAACGCACAUUGCGCCCCGUGGUAUUCCGCGGGGCAUGCCUGUUCGAGCGUCAUUUCACCACUCAAGCCUGGCUUGGUAUUGGGCGCCGCGGU
rnacentral:rRNA from 1 species